rnacentral:rRNA from 1 species
CAGUAGCCGCGGUAAUACGUAGGUGGCAAGCGUUGUCCGGAAUUAUUGGGCGUAAAGGGCUCGCAGGCGGUUUCUUAAGUCUGAUGUGAAAGCCCCCGGCUCAACCGGGGAGGGUCAUUGGAAACUGGGAAACUUGAGUGCAGAAGAGGAGAGUGGAAUUCCACGUGUAGCGGUGAAAUGCGUAGAGAUGUGGAGGAACACCAGUGGCGAAGGCGACUCUCUGGUCUGUAACUGACGUUCAUACACGAAAGCGUGGGGAGCAAACAGGAUUAGAUACCCCCGUAGUCCCUGUCUCUUAUAC